CAAUAGCGUAUAUUAAAGUUGUUGCAGUUAAAAAGCUCGUAGUUGAAUUUUUGCUUGCCGCCGAUGUCGGAACUUCCGUACGUUCGGCGGCGUGCAUCCUUGGGUGGAACCUGUGUGGCAUUAGGUUGUCGUGCAGGGGAUGCUCAUCGUUUACUGUGAAAAAAUUAGAGUGUUCAAAGCAGGCUUAUGCCGCUGAAUAUAUUAGCAUGGGAUAAUGAGAUAGGACCUUGGUACUAUUUUGUUGGUUUGUGCACCGAGGUAAUGAUUAAUAGGGACAGUUGUGGGUAUUCGUAUUCCAUUGUCAGAGGUGAAAUUCUUGGAUUUCUGGAAGACGAACGAAUGCGAAAGCAUUUACCAAGGAUGUUUUCAUUAA
rnacentral:rRNA from 1 species